rnacentral:rRNA from 1 species
AUGAACGCUGGCGGCGUGCUUAACACAUGCAAGUCGAACGAAGCAUUUAGGACAGAUUACUUCGGUUUGAAGUUCUUUAUGACUGAGUGGCGGACGGGUGAGUAACGCGUGGGUAACCUGCCUUGUACUGGGGGAUAGCAGCUGGAAACGGCUGGUAAUACCGCAUAAGCGCACAAUGUUGCAUGACAUGGUGUGAAAAACUCCGGUGGUAUAAGAUGGACCCGCGUCUGAUUAGCUAGUUGGUGAGAUAACAGCCCACCAAGGCGACGAUCAGUAGCCGACCUGAGAGGGUGACCCGCCACAUUGGGACUGAGACACGGCCCAGACUCCUACGGGAGGCAGCAGUGGGGAAUAUUGCACAAUGGAGGAAACUCUGAUGCAGCGACGCCGCGUGAGUGAAGAAGUAAUUCGUUAUGUAAAGCUCUAUCAGCAGGGAAGAUAGUGACGGUACCUGACUAAGAAGCUCCGGCUAAAUACGUG